GAUGAACGCUGGCGGCGUGCCUAAUACAUGCAAGUCGAGCGAACAGACGAGAGUGCUUGCACUCUCUGACGUUAGCGGCGGGCGGGUGAGUAACACGUGGGUAACCUACCUAUAAGACUGGGAUAACUUCGGGAAACCGGAGCUAAUACCGGAUAAUAUUUAGCUUCGCAUGAAGCAAUAGUGAAAGACGGUUCUGCUGUCACUUAUAGAUGGACCCGCGGUGUAUUAGCUAGUUGGUGAGGUAACGGCUCACCAAGGCAACGAUACAUAGCCGACCUGAGAGGGUGAUCGGCCACACUGGGACUGAGACACGGCCCAGACUCCUACGGGAGGCAGCAGUAGGGAAUCUUCCGCAAUGGACGAAAGUCUGACGGAGCAAUGCCGCGUGAGUGAAGAAGGUUUUCGGAUCGUAAAACUCUGUUGUAAGGGAAGAACAAGUACGUUAGUAACUGAACGUACCUUGACGGUACCUUACCAGAAAGCCACGGCUAACUACGU
rnacentral:rRNA from 1 species